rnacentral:rRNA from 1 species
UAGUCCACGCCGUAAACGAUGAUCACUCGACAUUAGCGAUAAACUGUUAGUGUCCAAGCGAAAGUAUUAAGUGAUCCACCUGGGGAGUACGCCGGCAACGGUGAAACUCAAAGGAAUUGACGGGGGCCCGCACAAGCGGUGGAGCAUGUGGUUUAAUUCGAUGAUACGCGAGGAACCUUACCAGGGCUUAAAUGCAGAACGACAGACUUGGAAACGAGUUCUUCUUCGGACGGAUUGCAAGGUGCUGCAUGGUUGUCGUCAGCUCGUGCCGUGAGGUGUUGGGUUAAGUCCCGUAACGAGCGCAACCCCUAUCUUUAGUUGCCAGCGGAUAAUGCCGGGGACUCUAAAGAAACUGCCAGCGCAAGCUGUGAGGAAGGUGGGGAUGAUGUCAAAUCAUCACGGCCCUUACGUCCUGGGCUACACACGUGCUACAAUGGUGAAUACAGAGGGCAGCUACCUGGUGACAGGAUGCAAUCUCCAAAGUUCAUCUCAGUUCGGAUU